rnacentral:rRNA from 1 species
AUUGAACGCUGGCGGCAGGCCUAACACAUGCAAGUCGAGCGGAUGAAGGGAGCUUGCUCUUGGAUUCAGCGGCGGACGGGUGAGUAAUGCCUAGGAAUCUGCCUGGUAGUGGGGGAUAACGUCCGGAAACGGGCGCUAAUACCGCAUACGUCCUGAGGGAGAAAGUGGGGGAUCUUCGGACCUCACGCUAUCAGAUGAGCCUAGGUCGGAUUAGCUAGUUGGUGGGGUAAAGGCCUACCAAGGCGACGAUCCGUAACUGGUCUGAGAGGAUGAUCAGUCACACUGGAACUGAGACACGGUCCAGACUCCUACGGGAGGCAGCAGUGGGGAAUAUUGGACAAUGGGCGAAAGCCUGAUCCAGCCAUGCCGCGUGUGUGAAGGAGGUCUUCGGAUUGUAAAGCACUUUAAGUUGGGAGGAAGGGCAGUAAGUUAAUACCUUGCUGUUUUGACGUUACCAACAGAAUAAGCACCGGCUAACUUCGUG